CACGGCCGUACAUAGAACUAUUGAGGGGCCAAUGUGGAGAAGGCAGCUGCACAUGGUGGUGUUUGGGGCCACACUGGAGGACACGGCCGUACAUGGAAAUAUUCAGGGGCCAACGUGGAGAACGCAGCUGUACACGGUGGUGUUCAGGGGCCACACAGGAGGAUGCUGCCAUACAUGGAACUGUUCAGGGGCCAAAUGUGGAGAACGCAGCUGUACAUGGUGGUGUUCGGGGCCACACUGGAGGAUGAUGUCGUAAAUGAUGGUGUUCAGGUCUACACUGGAGGAUGAUGUCGUACAUGGUGGUGUUCGGGGCCACACUGGAGGAUGCUGCUGUACAUGGUGGUGUUCAGGUCUACACUGGAGGAUGCUGCUGUACAUGGUGGUGUUCAGGUCUACACUGGAGGAUGAUGUCGUACAUGGUGGUGUUCGGGGCCACACGUGGAGGAUGCUCUCGUACAUGUUUGUGUUCAUGGGCCACACGUGGAGGACGCUGCUCCCCAGGGCUCCUUCCUGACCCUAACCUUCUCUACCACACAUUCCCCUGGUUUCAAAGAAAUAUAAGGUAAGGAUUUCGAAAGGACUCUCCCUUGGCCCCUGAGCUGUAAAUAGAACUGCUUUCUCAACAUCUUCACUUGGACUUGAGUAGACACAUCCAAACUUCUCAUCUUCAUCUCCCAGCCUUCUCUUCUUCCAGAUUCUCUGUCUUAGGGCCACCUCCUGGGCACAUAUCAAGUGAAAUGGAUCCUGGAGUGGAACAGAAAAUAACUGGCAAAAUCUACCUACCAUUCAUCUAGUCGUUCAUGCCAGAAACCUGGAAAACAGCUUUCGCAGAUUCUCUCCCUACCAUCCAACAGGCAGCGACUCACCAGAUUCUCUUGGCUCUGUCUCCUAAAUGCUACACUUAUCUACCCACUUCCUGCCAUCCUCAUUGCCAGCACCCUCAUUCAAACCAUCCUCAUUUCCCUCCUGGUCCACGUAAAGGAAAAUAAAAUCUCAGGACCCUCAAACUCCUUAUGCCAAAGGGAAAGUUAAGCCUGGAAACUGAGUCGGCCACACAGCCAUCCUCUCCCCAGAUGAAUAGCUGUUACUUCAAAACCUGUGUCAAAACAUUAUGCAUUAGCCAGACCCCCACAGAAAGGCAAAAGGCCUCAGGCGUCUUGGGAUGACUGCCCCCACAAAAUCCCUUUAAGUAAAUUCUUUGCCAGCCUGUAAACUUUUAAAAUGUCUAUCCUCCCAUAAAACAUGAACCUGUCAACUGUAGCUCUACGUCUGCCAUCUAAAUGUAGCUCAUACAGCUAAAGCCUCUUCACCUCUUCAGUGGUAGCGUGGAUUGCUAGUUUACCUCCACACAGGCAGAACGAAGGCACGAGGAGAUCAGUCCUUCCUCCACCCACACAGGUGCAUCUGCACAAUUGAUUCUUCCUUUACUCUGUUUUCUUCAAAUGUUCAGCGUAUGUAAAAUGCAGAUUUACUGGGCACUGAGUAAAGUUUCACAAGAAUGUAACCAUUUGCCUCACUGCCUUCCCCCCG
rnacentral:lncRNA from 1 species